rnacentral:tRNA from 1 species
GGACCCUUAACUCAGUAGGUUAGAGUACCCGGCUCAUAACCGGGCAGCCCUGGGUUCGAACCCCAGAGGGUCCA